rnacentral:rRNA from 1 species
CUUGGCUCAGGAUGAACGCUGGCGGUAUGCCAACACAUGCAAGUCGAACGAACUCGCAAGAGUGAGUGGCGGACGGGUGAGUAACGCGUGAGAAUCUGCCUUCAGGAUGGGGACAACAGUUGGAAACGACUGCUAAUACCCAAUAUGCCUUAAGGGGUGAAACUAAUUGGCCUGAAGAGGAGCUCGCGUCCGAUUAGCUAGUUGGUGGGGUAAGAGCCUACCAAGGCAGCGAUCGGUAGCUGGUCUGAGAGGAUGAGCAGCCACACUGGGACUGAGACACGGCCCAGACUCCUACGGGAGGCAGCAGUGGGGAAUUUUCCGCAAUGGGCGAAAGCCUGACGGAGCAAUACCGCGUGAGGGAGGAAGGCUUUUGGGUUGUAAACCUCUUUUCUCAAGGAAGAAGCCAGUGACGGUACUUGAGGAAUCAGCAUCGGCUAACUCCGUGCCAGCAGCCGCGGUAAUACGGAGGAUGCAAGCGUUAUCCGGAAUUAUUGGGCGUAAAGCGUCCGCAGGUGGCCUGUCAAGUCUGCUGUCAAAGACUAGAGCUCAACUCUGGAAAGGCAGUGGAAACUGGAAGGCUAGAGUACGGUAGGGGUUGAGGGAAUUCCCAGUGUAGCGGUGAAAUGCGUAGAUAUUGGGAAGAACACCAGUGGCGAAGGCGCUCAACUGGGCCGUAACUGACACUCAGGGACGAAAGCUAGGGUAGCGAAAGGGAUUAGAUAC